CAAUUUCCUUAUUCAAUGAACUGUCAUUCCUAAAUUAACGUCAGUAAUUAAGGAAUUCUCUCUCCCUCCCCACGACUUUUGCAAACCACCUCCACUCACUUCAGAAACCCUAUAGCAGACACAAAUUCAUCUCUCUUCACACCGCCUGAGUCCGGCGCUUCUGUGCACUUUCGCCGACUGCCGCCACGAUCUAAGACUGGUAACUGGUCGUCGCGAGCAUCUGAAGGCGUCGCGGCAUGCCCUGAUUUCAUCCACUCGUCAGUACGGCCUCUGUCUAAAAAUGAUGCCGCCGUCGGGACUGUAGGCUGUCACCGAAGCUGGAUUCAAUCGGCAAUUUUCGUCGAUGCUGGGUCAUGAAAUCAGCGACGAAACUUUGAAGAAGCAUUAUCCUCACCAUCAACGAGUAAAAGAAGGAAGACUUCUGUAACAGUAGGUGAUGGCACGCAGGGCUCGAAAUGCAACAUAUCUAGUAAACGACCGCAACAAUUCUCAAGGAUGCGCAUACGGUAUUGUGCAUCCAUUUUGGCGUGGGAGGAAAAUGAGGCGAAAAAGGCCGUUGUGGACAAAGCUUCACAUACUUUUGGAGAAAUGUACAAGGAUCCAAAAUUCAAUGUAAAUUUGAUGCUACUAGGUUGAAAUUUGGGCACGGAAGAGUCCCAUAAAAAAAAAUUAUAGUUUUUUGAUGAUUGAAGUCAUUUGAAACAUAUGUUUUGGAUGAUACAAUAAAGUCUGGAUUUUGUGUCAAUUGAUUUUGUUUGACUUCCAUUGGUUUGUGAUGUGAAAUUGUAGAAUUAUAAUCUAUCAGUAAAAUAUCUGCUAGUGAACAUUG